rnacentral:lncRNA from 1 species
AUUUUACAGUUUUACUUUUAUAUUAUUUGUGCCACAAUGUUCAUAUUUCAGAAGUGCAAUUACAGGCGGUGCUUGAUCUGAUAAGCUGAUUAAUUUGGAUUGAAUCAAUCUAUAAAAUGUGUUGGGCUGGUUUUUUAUGCAUUGUAAUCUUAAUGAAUUUUAUAGGGUUCAUAUUUCGAUUUCUUAAAAAUAUUAAUUGAAUAAUAAAAUUUCAAAAGAAACAUAGUCUGUUUUAUAGAAUUUGUUUGGAGAUUUAGAAAGUGAUGCAGGGACGCCUU